UGACUGUCCACCAAUGACAUGGCUGGCUGU
rnacentral:piRNA from 1 species